UACGGGGGGAGCAAGCGUUGUUCGGAUUUACUGGGCGUAAAGGGCGCGUAGGCGGCCACCGCAAGUCGACUGUGAAAUCUCCGGGCUUAACCCGGAAAGGUCAGCCGAUACUGCGGGGCUAGAGUGCAGAAGGGGCAACUGGAAUUCUCGGUGUAGCGGUGAAAUGCGUAGAUAUCGAGAGGAACACCUGCGGCGAAGGCGGCUCACUGGACUGGUAUUGACGCUGAGGUGCGAAAGCGUGGGGAGCAAACAGG
rnacentral:rRNA from 1 species